rnacentral:rRNA from 1 species
AACGAACGCUGGCGGCAGGCUUAACACAUGCAAGUCGAACGGGCACCUUCGGGUGUCAGUGGCAGACGGGUGAGUAACGCGUGGGAACGUACCUUUCGGUUCGGAAUAACCCAGGGAAACUUGGGCUAAUACCGGAUACGCCGGUAACGGGAAAGAUUUAUCGCCGAAAGAUUGGCCCGCGUCUGAUUAGCUAGUUGGUGAGGUAACGGCUCACCAAGGCGACGAUCAGUAGCUGGUCUGAGAGGANGAUCAGCCACAUUGGACUGAGACACGGCCCAAACUCCUACGGGAGGCAGCAGUGGGGAAUAUUGGACAAUGGGCGCAAGCCUGAUCCAGCCAUGCCGCGUGAGUGAUGAAGGCCCUAGGGUUGUAAAGCUCUUUUGUGCGGGAAGAUAAUGACGGUACGACAAGAAUAAGCCCCGGCUAACUUCGUGCCAGCAGCCGCAGUAA